CCCUCACGACCUGUGCAUCUACUACGACAAUUAGCAAUGUUUUGUUGUCCAGCUGAAACUACCGUCUAUUUCUGGGUAGGGUUCAGCCCUUCACGGGACUGCAAGGACAAGGAGGGCGGGGUCAAGUUCUUAUGGUUCAGUGGCAACAUCAACAAAUGCACCUCCAAGCUGCUCACUUGUGGUCAAUGAUACUACAGAUUAUCGGAUGGAAUCAUGGAAGUACUCAUGUUCCUCUAACACGUCAUGUGAGAGAUCCACCAGCUAAUAGUUCUCUUUGGCCAUGAACUUCUCCCUGCUCCGCACCAUCGAGACACUGCCACUGCAGCGUAAAAUGUGCUGCCUCGGCAACACUGGCAGAGCUCCUUUGGGGCCAAACUGGGCCAUGGCCCGCCCAAGUUUUCUGCCAAAAAAAUAUCAACUCCUAU